CCUUGUACACACCGCCCGUCACACCAUGGGGAGUGGGUUCUGCCAGAAGUAGUUAGCCUAACCGCAAGGAGGGCGAUUACCACGGCAGGGUUCGUGACUGGGGUG
rnacentral:rRNA from 1 species